rnacentral:rRNA from 1 species
UACGGGGGGGGCAAGCGUUGUUCGGAAUUACUGGGCGUAAAGGGCUCGUAGGCGGCCAACUAAGUCAGACGUGAAAUCCCUCGGCUUAACCGGGGAACUGCGUCUGAUACUGGAUGGCUUGAGUUUGGGAGAGGGAUGCGGAAUUCCAGGUGUAGCGGUGAAAUGCGUAGAUAUCUGGAGGAACACCGGUGGCGAGGGCGGCAUCCUGGACCAACACUGGCGCUGAGUGAGCGAAAGCCAGGGGAGCAAACAGG